UACUCUUGACAUCCUGCGAACUUUCGAGAGAUCGAUUGGUGCCUUCGGGAACGCAGAGACAGGUGCUGCAUGGCUGUCGUCAGCUCGUGUUGUGAGAUGUUGGGUUAAGUCCCGCAACGAGCGCAACCCUUGUCCUUAGUUGCCAGCACGUAAUGGUGGGAACUCUAAGGAGACUGCCGGUGACAAACCGGAGGAAGGUGGGGAUGACGUCAAGUCAUCAUGGCCCUUACGGCCAGGGCUACACACGUACUACAAUGGUCGGUACAGAGGGUUGCAAUACCGCGAGGUGGAGCCAAUCCCAGAAAGCCGAUCCCAGUCCGGAUCGAAGUCUGCAACUCGACUUCGUGAAGUCGGAAUCGCUAGUAAUCGCAGAUCAGCUAUGCUGCGGUGAAUACGUUCCCGGGCCU
rnacentral:rRNA from 1 species